UACAGAGGUGGCAAGCGUUGUUCGGAAUUACUGGGCGUAAAGGGCGCGUAGGCGGCCAUCUAAGUCAGACGUGAAAUCCCCCGGCUCAACCUGGGAACUGCGUCUGAUACUGGACGGCUUGAGUUUGGGAGAGGGAUGUAGAAUUCCAGGUGUAGCGGUGAAAUGCGUAGAUAUCUGGAGGAACACCGGUGGCGAAGGCGGGUCUCUGGGCCGAUACUGACGCUGAGGAGCGAAAGCGUGGGGAGCAAACAGG
rnacentral:rRNA from 1 species